rnacentral:lncRNA from 1 species
GUGGAUUUCUAUGGCUUCAGUGGCACCAAACACAGCACUGUGAUUUAAAGAGGAUGUUCAGCAAGAUUUCUUAAGGAAACGACACUCAAGGCUAGCGAUGUGCAGUGUGAUACUCUCGCAAUCUGGGCAGCAGCAUCAAGCCGCAGCUGUCAAUCAGCCACGCCAUCACGAGGGUAAAGGCGAUACUCUCCCAUGGACUGUGAUGCAGAUGAUUCUGUUCAACUGGAGGCCAGUGUGAGGAGAACCAUCCAAAGCAGUGGGGGACCAGGAGGUGGGUCCCCUAGGAUGAGGAGGCAUUCUGAAUAAACUCUGUGCUGUGUACCUGCAUUUUGGCUGUGAGCUGCCACAUGAGGUCAGGUGUAGAAUUUUUCACUUGAGGUGCCAUGUUAAUGUUCCGAAAGUUCUGGAUUUUGGAGCAUUUCAGACUUUGGAUGUUGAGAUUAGGGGUGCUCAACCUGUUCUAAGCAGACGGAUGGCUACAGUAAGGCUGUUCCGAAGCUUGGCAAUGUCUUCACCUUUUAAGAGGAAGAAUCCUAAUGGGUGAGGGUAACUCAUCCAAGUCCCGGAAACACAGAGCUGAAGAGGCUCAGGAAGUCUCUAAGUCCAUCCGCUGAAGGUGCUGAGACAGCACCACUGGGACUGGGAUGAAAUGGUAGCUGGCACUAACUAAGGAGCAACCUUUACAGUGGAAGAUGUGACCACAGGAGAAUGGCCUGUCGGGGUCCAGGAAAAGGGACUCCCCAAAGCAAGAACUCAGGUCUGUCCCAGCACUGCCCUUGCAGGUCUGUGUGAGAGCAAACCUUUAGCCGGGGUCACAGGUAACUAAGCCCUGUGCAGAUACACCCGGGAACCUCUGUUUUAAAAAUGACCCAUUUGUGUGUGUGGGUGGGUUUCUCCACGUCGGUCAGGCUGGUCUUGAACUCCCAGCCUCAGGUGAUCUACCUACCUCGACCACUCAAAGUGCUGGGAUUACAGGCGUGAGCCACUGUGCUCGGUCCCAUUUCCUUUUUCUUCCUUCCCUCCCCUCUUACCUCUUCAUUCCUUCCCUCCCUAGACACCCCCUCAU